rnacentral:rRNA from 1 species
CCAGACUCCUACGGGAGGCAGCAGUGGGGAAUAUUGGGCAAUGGGCGAAAGCCUGACCCAGCGACGCCGCGUGAGGGAAGAAGGUCUUCGGAUUGUAAACCUCUUUCAGCAGGGAAGAAGAAAGUGACGGUACCUGCAGAAGAAGUCACGGCUAACUACGUGCCAGCAGCCGCGGUAAUACGUAGGGGGCAAGCGUUAUCCGGAUUUACUGGGUGUAAAGGGGGCGCAGACGGCGAUGCAAGCCAGGAGUGAAAGCCCGGGGCCCAACCCCGGGACUGCUCUUGGAACUGCGUGGCUGGAGUGCAGGAGGGGCAGGCGGAAUUCCUGGUGUAGCGGUGAAAUGCGUAGAUAUCAGGAGGAACACCGGUGGCGAAGGCGGCCUGCUGGACUGCAACUGACGUUGAGGCCCGAAAGCGUGGGGAGCAAACAGGAUUAGAUACCCGAGUACC